rnacentral:rRNA from 1 species
UGGUGGAGCGAUUUGUCUGGUUAAUUCCGAUAACGAACGAGACUCUAGCCUGCUAAAUAGCUCGGGGAUCCUUAGCGAGUCCCCCGGCAGCUUCUUAGAGGGACAGGUGGCGCUUAGCCACACGAGAUUGAGCAAUAACA